ensembl:lncRNA
AUAGUGAGAGUUUUGGCUACUGUGGGGAGUCCCAAACCAGUAGCUGGAGGAAUUCAACAUCCUUUCCUGUGUCCAAUGCUGCUUCGGACACCCCUGGCCAUAUGCCAAACCUGACAUCAUUAAACAAGAUUUCACAAUCAUCGGUGUAGCAUGGUCUCAGUACCUCAUACAAUACUGCUCUUCGGUGUCUAUAAACAAUUAACAUUUCCAUCAAUCACUCUCACUCAUGCUUUUACAGCUAUUAGCUCAAGUUUCUUGCCUCUGUUUCUAUGGUUAGGUCAUGAGGUUUGAAUUGCCUCACACUCGACACACCUCAUCCCAGCCAAGAGCAACAUGGUUAUGUGACCAGACAAAUGUACAAGGCUGAAAACAUGGCUUAGGUGGGGGAGUGGAGAGGACAUACAUAAACAUGGACCCUUUAAUACUUCUAAGUAGACUUCUUAAGAUGAAACUAGACGUGGGUUUGAGGUUGGCAUUGUUCCAGUACUAGCAAUGAAUUCUCCACGGGAUAACUUGCUUAACAGGUCUGAUCACCUUUACAGAGCUCUAAGAACUUAACGAGGCAAUGAUUGUAUCUGUUCAGAAUUCAACUACUUCUUAAAAUUAUUGCAGUUAUUACAUUUACAUCGUCAAAUAAGCUUAAAUGCUCCUCCACCGCAAAAUAAUCCAGACCACAUUUUAGAUUACAUGGUAUCUCUUUCUUUCUAUAUGCUUUACUCUCAAUAUAUCGAACCUCUUCAGUUAUUUACUUGUGUUAACUGGCUGUUACUUAGUUAUAAAUUUUACUCUAAGAAAAUUCAGCAAAUGGGGCACACUAUUUCACCAAGCAUAGGUUAAUUAUCUCUCCACAUGCAAUAAAGAAUUAUUAAACUACUUCCUGCCCAGAAACAUUAGGAACACCGAAAGGAAAUGAGACUCUUGCAGACAUCAUUACUUCACCAACCCACUGGAGACUCCUGUGUGGUCCUGCAUCAGUCCAUAAAACAUGAUCUGCUACCCAUUUGACUUUUGUGUUUGCAGAGGUGAACAGUGAUGUGGUGUUCUGCCAGCGGAACCGUGAUGGAUCCUUGGUGCCGGUGCGAAAGAACACGAAGCACGUAGGCCAUAUGGUUCUGACUUAGGCUCUCGGUACAAUUGGGCGCCGUGAAAUCACUGACGCCUACAAGU